GUGUGAGCAUAAAAACUUGCAUAGUCAAAUCUCGAGGGAAAAGAAGAAAGACUAUAAAAGGAUUAAGAUCAAUGGAAAAGGGCAUCUUAACAGAAGUAGAAGGCAAAAGUGAAUUCUCUCCCUCCCCUUGCACUUUGGAGACACCCUGCUCUGCUUGCUAUCAUUGCUAAUAUGCAAAUAGACUGAACAGCGGAACAACUGAACAACUGGUUGCU